rnacentral:rRNA from 1 species
CAGGACGAACGCUGGCGGCGUGGCUUAAUACAUGGCAAGUCGAACGGACCGAGUUCUAGUAGUUUACGUAUUGGGAAAGGUUAGUGGCGGACGGGUGAGUAACGCGUGGGUAAUCUGCCCCAAGUCCGGGAUAACAGAGCGAAAGUUCUGCUAAGACCGGAUACUCUUUACCAGUUGCAUAACGGGUAAAGGAAAGGUAACGCUUAGGGAUGAGCCCGCGUCCCAUUAGCUAGUUGGUGAGGUAACGGCCCACCAAGGCGACGAUGGGUAGCCGGCCUGAGAGGGUGGACGGCCACACUGGGACUGAGACACGGCCCAGACUCCUACGGGAGGCAGCAGUAGGGAAUUUUCCGCAAUGGGCGCCAAGCCUGACGGAGCAACGCCGCGUGAGGGACGAAGGUCUUCGGAUCGUAAACCUUUGUCAUCGAGGACGAUAAUGACGGUACUCGAGGAGGAAGCCCCGGCUAACUACGUGCCAGCCGCGGC